rnacentral:rRNA from 1 species
UAAAUGAACUUAAAUUAACUUAAAAAUACUUUUUUAACAAACAAAGUAAUAAAUAAUAUUUUAAAGUUAAUUAAUAGAGGUUCAGCUCUAUUAAUAAAGGAUACAACCUAAAACAAUGAAUAAUGAUUAUACUAAUUAAAGAAAUUAACUAGGUGGGCCUAAAAGCAGCAAUCAAAAUAAAAGCGUUAAAGCUUAAUUUAAUAAAUCUUAUUAUAACAAUAAAAUAAUCUUACUUCCCCAAAACUAUUAAGUCAAUCUAUUUAAAUAGAUGUAAUUAUACUAGAAUGAGUAAUAAGAAAAUAUUCUCUUAGUGCAAGUGUAAAUCAAAACGAAUAUAUCACUGAUAAUUAACGAACCUUUUGAGGGAAAAAUAGUAUUUUACAAGAAAAAUCUAUUCAACCUAUCGUUAACCCAACACAGGAGCACACUAAAAAGAUUAAAAAUAUAGGAAGGAACUCGGCAAACAUGAACUUCGCCUGUUUACCAAAAACAUCGCCUCUUGCAGUUUAGGUAUAAGAGGUCCUGCCUGCCCAGUGACACUAAGUUUAACGGCCGCGGUAUUAUGACCGUGCAAAGGUAGCGUAAUCACUUGUCUUUUAAAUAAAGACCGGUAUGAAUGGCAAGACGAAAGUUCAACUGUCUCCCUAAAUUAAUCGAUGAAAUUGAUCUUUCCGUGCAGAAGCGGAAAUAUAACUAUAAGACGAGAAGACCCUAUGGAGCUUUAAACAUAUAAUCAAUUGUAAAACAUAAAAUCCAAAAGAUUAAAUAUAAAAUAAAACAAUCUGAUUAAAAUUUUAGGUUGGGGCGACCACGGAGAAAAACAAAACCUCCGAGAUGAAGAAAAUAAUCUUAAUUCAAGAACUACAGUUCUAAAAAAUAAAAUAUUUAACAUAAUUGAUCCAAUAUAUUGAUCAACGAACCAAGUUACCCUAGGGAUAACAGCGCAAUCCUCUCCAAGAGUCCCUAUCGACGAGCGGGUUUACGACCUCGAUGUUGGAUCAGGACACCCCAAUGGUGCAGCCGCUAUUAAAGGUUCGUUUGUUCUUCGAUUAAAGU